GAUUUCAUCAGGCCUACUGUACAGAUUUCAUCAGGCCUACUUACAGUAUGUUGUCACUGUUGAUCUGAUAACACCUUGGUCCAAUCGUCAUUAGGAAAGUGCUGCAAGUAGUGUUUUCUAACGAAAGUUAUACCUUCAUCACAGCAUCCGUGAAUAUAUACUGCAAGGACCAAUGGGAAGUGCUGGGUCAAUGCUGUUGCCAGAAGAGGUAGUAAAUAUUGUAAAAUGGAGGAUUUAUCUUGGUCUGAAUAACUAAACGUGGAUGGAGGCGAGAAGGGCCUCAGAAGAUCAGCCUGCCAGCCACACAGUUCCCUGCCCACUGGGAUUUUCCGCUGGCUCUCUCCCACAGCCCAGCCCUGGCCCGAACAUACCCAACCGGCAGGCCGCUGGCUGGGGAAGUGAAAGGGUAGUGGAGUGGCACAUGAUAUGCCCCCUGCCAUAUGGACACAGACUGAGCCCCACAGAUCAGCUUUGUAAGAACAUCUGCUCCCUUUGGUCUGGAGCCAUCAGUACCAGGAAUUCUCGAAAAGUGGAAAGAGGCUGUGGUGCAGAUGGCAAAUGUAAUGGCAGAUUUCAGGGAAACAAGUAGCUACACUUUACAUUUGAUACAGUUAAAACUAUUUCAAAAAUAAAUAAAA